rnacentral:lncRNA from 1 species
GGGAGGAAAAAGGAAGAGAGAGAGAAGAAGGUUACAGUUUAGAGAGAGGAGGAAGAAGGAAGAGACGAAAUAGCCAGGGUUUAUAAAGACAGAAGAAGGAAGAGGUAAUGGGCUUCACAAACCCUAAUGGAAGAGGCCUCAUUGAUUUUUAGAAAGAGAAAAAAAAAAUGGGAUGUUGAUUUGGGAUAGUUUGAAGAGGGCUUUUCUCUCUGAUUUGGGAUUUUGUUUGAGAGAACGUCCUAACUAUAUUGAUUUGUCAAGAGUUUGUUUGAGAGAACGUCUAAAUUAUAUUGAUUUGUCAAGAGGUCUUAACUGAUUUUUAGAGAGAGAAAAAGAAGAGGGUUUUCCAUUUUUUUGGGGAAAUAACAAGCAGAG